AAAAAAACCUCUGAAACUACACUACAUGGAGGAAAUGGUGACGAUUAAAAAAAAGCAUGACCGUUUAAAAAUGGACGACUGUUAAGAAAAACCAUGACCAUUUUUUAAAAAACAUGUUUUUUGAACUCUUAUAAAUGGUGACUUACAGCCGGGCGCUCCUCAUCACUUCCCGGCAUUGUUUUGUUUGUUUUCUUGUUUGAGUCUGUGUUAUUUUUUUUUCAAUGUUUUUAUUGAAUUUUUCAUGUUUUUUCAGAGCAUGCAUGCUAGUCUGGUCUCUCUGUCCAUGAUUUGUUGUUUUUUGGUUGGUUUUUCUAUUUUGCACAGGAAGAGGCAGGAUAGAUGAAGAGGGAAAGCAAGAGGCAGAGACAGAGCAAUGGCAAUUUAUGCAGAAUAUUUGGCAGGAAGCGUGGCAAUUCCUAAAUUGUCUUUGUCUUUUGAGUUUUUUUACAUCCUUUGGGCUGUGGGUUAUGGUUACCGUCUUGUUUCAAUCAGUAAUGGGCCUGAUGGGAGCUUGAUUGGAAGCUUGGAACUCAUACGAAAUACUGAUACAUAUGGUCCUGCUAUUCCUAGAAUUCGACUUUAUAUUAAGUAUGGUUUGUGUAUUGUUGCUUAUUCAUCGGUUCUUUUGUUUUUCACUUCAAAUGUGUUUUGGGUUUCAUCCUAUGAAAAUGAUCGCUUCAUCUGAUUUUUGAUUGUUUGAUGUUUGGGUGUUCUGAUAUUUGAAUUUUCAUGUGUCUGGUCAGCUGAACUUUUGUGGAGGAUUUGAUUAAUUGUUUCAAAAGCUACUAGACACUGUAAGUCAGGGAUGUUCUGUUAUGCAUUGGGUUUAUUGAAGGCUUUUUAUCCCUAUUUGAAAAUUUGUAGAAAUGUAUUUUGGUUUGUUGUGCAUAGGAAUCCGGAUUACUAGUAUAGUUGGCUAUAUACCAUUUUGGUUCGAGGAUUUUAAUGAUUUGGGUAUGGUGGCUUAUGCCCCGAUCUAUUUUUACAGUGAGUCUGAUUUGGGUGGUUUUGAUGUAUUGGGUCUGUUGGAUUGAUCUACUCUCAAAUGUAUUGAGUAUGUAUGGCGGUAUCUUUAUUUUAGUUAUGCUAGUUAAGACCACCAUGCUGAGAUGGUUCCAGGCCGAGUUAUAGAUGUGAUUGGGAUGCUCUUCAUGAUCAGUAGCAAAUUUUCGUUAUUGCCAUUUGAUCAAUAUGUUGAGGAUUCCCCUCUUUGCGCACACUUAAACUGUAUCUGGCCUUGAGUCUUAAUCUGCUUCUUAUCUGAAUCUUUUUUUCUAAAUCCUGUAGGGUCGAGCAAAGGACCAAUGAAGUGAGAUUCCAAUGCAGGCAUGAGACACAUUACGUCUCCUGCCUAAUCACAUUAUGUGUUUGUGUGUAUGCUUCCUAACUUGAUAAUUGUUUGACAUUUUUUAUUUCCUGUGAUUGAGAAUUAUUUUGGACAUUUUUCCUUUCCUGUGAUUGAAAAUUAUUUUAGACAUUUUUUCUUUCAAUGGUAGAUUAUAUAUACAGGCAGCAAUAUAGAGAUAGAAUUAUUGUAAACGGCACCUUAACUGCGGAAAUCUUGCGUAAUUGUAUUUAACCUAUUCAAUCUCAUAGAUACUAGUGGGUUUCAUGAUGUAUACCAUAUCUGUGUUGGUCAUAUCCUCUUAGCUUUAAUUUCUUUUUGUUACUGCCUAUGUAUUUUUCUGUUCCUUGGCAUUGUCCGUGUAUAUGGGGAGCCGUAACCUGUAGACAUUUAUAUACCAUCUCUUAGUUUUAACUUCUAUUCGUUACGGCCUGUGUGUAUUCUUCUGAUCCUUGGCACUGUCUGUGUACAUGCCAUCUAAGAGGCGGUUCUGGUCAAGAUCUAAUCAAUUUUUGAGGCAGCAUCUACAUUUUCCAAGGAAAUGGAGGUAUUGGCUGCUCUUGCAAGUGGGACUAAUUCAUUCCGUGUUGCCUUGGUUGAGGGUUUAGUGGUGUUUUCUGUAACAUCCCGUCAGUUGCUUGGAGGGUGGAUUUUAUAAAGAAAUAGUAAACAUUGAGAGAAAGAAGCAUAGUAAAUUGCCAACUUAAUGAGGCAUGAGCUACCAUAUGGGCUGGCUAUGGGCAUUAAAUUGGAGAGGACAGGAGGAAUGGCACAAGUCAGAGACUAAGGCAGACUUGCCAUAAUGGAGGAUGGCAUCUCAAUCCAAUGAGGACGGUAGAUAGCUGGAUGCGUGGGAAAAGGUCCAGGGGCAGUAGAAACUCAGAGAAACGCAAUUGGUGUUGAAAAUCCAAAUUCCAAACAUUGUUUCCCACAUUUUCACUGCCUCUGACUUAGUGAGACAUCGACUAGGUGAAGGACACUCUACCAGACUUGUUUCCCACAUUAUCACUGCCUGUGCCUCAAUGUGAGACAUCGAAUAGGUGAAGGACUCUCUACCAGACUUAAAAAGGAGAGAAAAGAAUUGAGAAGGCAGAAUGGUGUGAAGAGAGAAAGAAGAGCAGGCAGUGGGAAGACGGGAAAACCGGGUGGGAAAAGAAGACAAUAACGUGAGGAGUACAAACAAGGAUUAUGACAUGAUUGGAGGCGACCAGGAUUUAGUGGAGUUGCAGAGGCAGGUAGAGAAGAAAUAGAGAAAUGCAUGGGUAGAAGGGGUUGACCGAAUUUUGUUAAGGGUUAUAAAUCAGCAUAAGGAAUAGAUGAGUUUUGUUAGAUGGUAUGGUUGCAACUACUGUGCAGAGAAAUAUAAACUCUUGGGCCACCAUUAUUGAAAAUGCAUACAAUGGAUCUGUUGGGCUACAAAAACUUUCAAGAAAAUGCAAUCGGAUAAUGGCACGUGCUUUGGUCUCUAUUCUCUUUCAUUGCUUUGGAAUCGCCUUCAAAUUCUCACUCAUCAUCAGGGAAACUAGUUUUUAUGCCGACAUGCAUUUUCAGUAGCAGAGCGUUUGAAGGCAAUUGCUUUGAAAUCGUCUUCAUAUUCUCCCUUCCCUUUUAUUUGUUCUUGGUACUUGUCAAUAUCAGGAGAAUCUUUCAUCUCAAAAAGCACUGGGAAAAAGUAGUAUUGUGUCGCCUGUCAUAUUUUGGCGGGUUUAUAACUAGAUAUUUGGUUCAAUGGUAUAGUGGAUUUUAAAAUUCUUCUGUUCUAUUCAUUUUCUUGAUUUAUAAAUAGUUUAUAAAGGUAAGAUUUGAUCUAUUUUCUCUCUGAGGCUUGAAGUCUAUUGAAUUUGGAGGACUCGUAACCAUCUCAAAUGGUUUUUCUUGAACGCAUUUGGUUUUAUGAAUGCACAAUUUGCUGAAAUUCAAUUUUCCAAACUUGCGUAUAAUAAUUAUUCCGUGGCCUCUGGAAUUUGGUCUGCUGGAUAAUAAUUAUUUGGGCACCAGGGAUGUGAAGUAUCACGGUAUACUCUGCCGUUUACAGAAAGUUUAUCAUAGAAAAUUAAAGGGUUAUUCUUCUUGAAAUGGGAACCUGCAUUGCAUUCUGAAUAUAUGGGUCGACUUAAGAAUUCAACAAGUGCAUUUGUGGGUAAGGUUGUAGACUCCUGUUUUUUCUCUUGUUCUCUUUCUCUGAUCUUACAUGACAGAGGAAUGUUGGGCCAACUUUAUUAAUUCUAGCAGAAGGUUAAUUGGGCAGUUUCUUGAGUUUCUGCCUAGAUAUAUUGGUCAACACGAGGUCUACUGCAGGGGAUAUUCAGGGAUUCUGAGGGUGCUUCAAAUCAAACCAAACUGCAGAGCCCAUAAAUAUUUCAUGCACUAUACACUUCGGUAUUUGUAAGAUUGCGAAUGUGGAUACUGAUCAAGCCUGUAAAGAUGAAACCAAUCAGAGAAUUCAGGAGAAUUCAUCUACUGUUAAAGAAGAGACCUUCAAUACCACCUCACAAGGUCUUACUGUUAAGUUAGGUCUGGAUCAUAAAUCCCUAGGGAUUAAAUGGAAACGUGUUACAGUUGUAGCGGCAAUUCUGUUGGUUUUAGAGGCUGGCGGAGGUCCAAGAAAUGGAGAUGACAAAACAGUACACCAGGUAUAAACAUAGACAGAGGAGGCAGCAGAUUGAACAAAGUGUGACUCCUCCAACACGCUUGGAAGCUUUGUCCAAUAUGUGGAUGCUACAUAUUCUAGGGAGCGUCCUCCAACUGCUGUGAGGUCUGAGCAAAUUUGAAAUAGAAAUCUUUCGCCAUUACCUGCACAGCCAACUUUUCAAUCUCCAAGUUCAGUGCAUUCUUUCUCAUGAUGUCUCUGUUAGGAGAUCAUAUAACAUCUAAUUCUAAAUGCUUGUAUGCAAAUGUUACCCUGUUUCUCAUCUCCUAUUUUGAGUUUCUGUUAAAGCCACUGAAGCAGACAUUUAUUUAUUAAUCCGGUAUUUAUCAGUAAAUUUGAUGUGGGUUUUAGUAAUCCGGUAUUUAUUAUCAGUAAAAAUGUAUGCGGGUGUAGAUCAUUAGGAGGUUUUCAUUAGGAUAUUAAUUUGAAUGCUGGUGUUUCAUAGGUUUUAAUAUGUAAGAUUCAUUUAGGUUCUGGUAAUUCACAGCUUUUCAUUAGUCAACUUUAUGUAUGUCAGUAAUUCGCAGGUUUGUAUUAAUACAGUUCUUGGUAUUAAUGAACAUUGGUUUCUCUUUCAUUUGGGCUAUAUAUUCUGAUUAAGAAUGGUUUGUCUUAUUAAUGGACCAGACUUUAUAUCAAUUCAACUCUUGUCAUCAUGAACACUUCUUUAUUACCCAUUAUGAAUGUUUGUUUUGUUAAUAUAGUUUUCAUUUGAAUCCAGAAGGAAAUAAUAGCUGAGGAGAUGUAAACAAAUUGGAGAUGCAAUUUUCUGUGGACUGUAUGUAAGCACCAUGAACUGGAUUAGACAGUUGCAAAGCAGCUUUGGGAUUCCAUUCCUUGUGCUUAUUUUUCUGACAUACUGGACUCGGAUUUCUUUACAACUUACCUUACAAAUUUUGUCACUUUUGCAACAAUGCUUUCCUUUGUAUAUAAAAUUCAUCGUUGUGCAACUUUUGGAACAUAAAUUGACAUCCAUCCAGACGUAGAUGAUUCAUAAGUCAGUUUGAUAACAUAGGAAGUAUUCCUCAGUCAUAUGGAUCUUCCUCUGAUCAGCUGUAUUGAAUAAGCAUAUUUCAAGAAUUUU